AACGAACGCUGGCGGCGUGCCUAACACAUGCAAGUCGUGCGAGAAAGUUCCUUCGGGAGCGAGUAAAGCGGCGCACGGGUGAGUAACACGUAGGUAACCUGCCCCCAGUCUGGAACAACUAGAGGAAACUCUAGCUAAUGCCGGAUGAGACCACGAUCCCUUCGGGGGUUGCGGCCAAAGAUGGCCUCUACUUGUAAGCUAUCGCUGAGGGAUGGGCCUGCGGGCCAUUAGCUUGUUGGUGAGGUAACGGCUCACCAAGGCUGUGAUGGCUAGCUGGUCUGAGAGGAUGACCAGCCACACUGGGACUGAGACACGGCCCAGACUCCUACGGGAGGCAGCAGUGGGGAAUAUUGCGCAAUGGGCGAAAGCCUGACGCAGCGACGCCGCGUGGGUGAUGAAGGCCUGGUC
rnacentral:rRNA from 1 species